AGAAUCAACGCUGGCGGCGUGCCUCAGACAUGCAAGUCGAACGCGAAAGUCCCCUUCGGGGGACAAGUAGAGUGGCGCACGGGUGAGUAACACGUAGGUAAUCUACCUUCGGAUGGGGAAUAACAAUCGGAAACGGUUGCUAAUACCGCAUAAUGCAGCGGCACCUAAUGGUGACAGUUGUUAAAGCGGGGGAUCGAAAGACCUCGCGUCUGAAGAGGAGCCUGCGGCGGAUUAGCUAGUGGUAAGGUAAUGGCUUACCAAGGCUACGAUCC
rnacentral:rRNA from 1 species